rnacentral:rRNA from 1 species
CAAUAGCGUAUAUUUAAGUUGUUGCAGUUAAAAAGCUCGUAGUUGGAUUUCGGAUGGGAUUUGCCGGUCCGUCGUUACGAUGUGCACUGGCCAGUCCUAUCUUGUUGUCGGGGACUAGCUCCUUGGAUUAACUUCCUGGGACUAGGAGCUGACGAGGUUACUUUGAGUAAAUUAGAGUGUUCAAAGCAAGCCUUCGCUCUGAAUACAUUAGCAUGGAAUAACACGAUAGGACUCUGGCUUAUCUUGUUGGUCUGUGAGACCAGAGUAAUGAUUAAGAGGGACAGUCGGGGACAUUCGUAUUUCACUGUCAGAGGUGAAAUUCUCGGAUUUAUGAAAGACGAACUUCUGCGAAAGCAUUUGUCAAGGAUGUUUUCAUUAA